rnacentral:tRNA from 1 species
AGGGAUUUAGGAUAAUACUAAACCAAGAGCCUUCAAAGCCCUAAAUAAGAGUGAAAACCUCUUAAUCCCUA